rnacentral:rRNA from 1 species
GAUGAACGCUGGCGGCGUGCCUAAUACAUGCAAGUCGAGCGAACGGACGAGAAGCUUGCUUCUCUGAUGUUAGCGGCGGACGGGUGAGUAACACGUGGAUAACCUACCUAUAAGACUGGGAUAACUUCGGGAAACCGGAGCUAAUACCGGAUAAUAUUUUGAACCGCAUGGUUCAAAAGUGAAAGACGGUCUUGCUGUCACUUAUAGAUGGAUCCGCGCUGCAUUAGCUAGUUGGUAAGGUAACGGCUUACCAGGGCAACGAUGCAUAGCCGACCUGAGAGGGUGAUCGGCCACACUGGAACUGAGACACGGUCCUGACUCCUACGGGAGGCAGCAGUAGGGAAUCUUCCGCAAUGGGCGAAGGCCUGACGGAGCAACGCCGCGUGAGUGAUGAAGGUCUUCGGAUCGUAAAACUCUGUUAUUAGGGAAGAACAUAUGUGUAAGUAACUGUGCACAUCUUGACGGUACCUAAUCAGAAAGCCACGGCUAACUACGUG